rnacentral:rRNA from 2 species
GCAAGGGGGGUCUCGUUACGAUGAGAGUCUGACGGAGCACGCCGCGUGAGUGAUGAAGGCUUUCGGGUCGUAAAACUCUGUUGUUAGGGAAGAACAAGUACAAGAGUAACUGCUUGUACCUUGACGGUACCUAACCAGAAAGCCACGGCUAACUACGUGCCAGCAGCCGCGGUAAUACGUAGGUGGCAAGCGUUAUCCGGAAUUAUUGGGCGUAAAGCGCGCGCAGGCGGUUUCUUAAGUCUGAUGUGAAAGCCCACGGCUCAACCGUGGAGGGUCAUUGGAAACUGGGGAACUUGAGUGCAGAAGAGAAAAGCGGAAUUCCACGUGUAGCGGUGAAAUGCGUAGAGAUGUGGAGGAACACCAGUGGCGAAGGCGGCUUUUUGGUCUGUAACUGACGCUGAGGCGCGAAAGCGUGGGGAGCAAACAGGAUUAGAUACCCCGGUAGUCAAGU